rnacentral:lncRNA from 1 species
GGGCGAGGACGGCGCAGGCAGGACCGGGACUCCGACCUGGGCUGGCUCCCGCCGCCCUUGGCGCGGCCUCUCCCGGCCACCUGGGCCCGGGAAGCUCGGACGCGCCUCUGAGGCCUCGGUGCGGCCCAGGCCGCCUGCCGGAGGGACGCGUUGUACCUUCGCGGCUAUGGGCCGACCGGACGCCGAGCGCCUCAAGAGCUCGGAAGAAGUCGUCUUCGCGGAGAGCUGGGCGAGUCGGGCCUAGGCAGCACUGCUAAGUGAAAGGAAGCAGGAGGGCAGUGGGCCUGGGCACUCAGGGCACUCUGGCUAAUAUGACAGUUCUGGUGGCGCUGUAAGGACUCGGUUUCUUCAAUGCCAGCAACUUCCUCUAUCAGAAGACUCAGCCUUUCCU